AAGUGUUAACAGGACAAAUUCAAGAAGUCAAUGAUGUCAGAGAAUAUGAUGUUUGUGAGAAUGAAAAGGUGUUUGCAAAAAACAACAACAGAUGACAUAAGGACGCUCUUAGCAAUGGGCAAUCUGUCUCAAAUGGAUGUGUAAAGAAAAAGAAGAUGAGAACUAAAUAACACCCUGCACGUCUCACGUUCAUUCCUUUUGUGGUUAGAAUAUUGUCCGGAAGCCGUUUUCAUCUCCACAUUAAGGCACUCGACACAAUAAACGCUGAAAUUAACUGAAUGACUUUAAUAUCAUCUGGUUCAUGCAAGACCUUUGUUGAUUUUUUUUAAAUAUAUACCUCUUACCCAGUUAAUGAGUUUGACACAUUAUCUACUGUGAAAACAUGAGAACGGCACAGAUUUACUAAAGGUUUAAGAUGCACUGCACUUUACAUCAUGUCAUUUUCUUAUUAUGUCCUUUUUGGCGAUCUGCCAUCUAUUGGUAUUACUCAGCAGAUGUUGGUGUUCACAUGUACUUAAUAGACAGUUUCAGCCGCAACUGAGGUGAUGCUGGAAUGAGCCAGUGAGACUGUGAGUCAGACUUCCAAUAAUGCAUUACUGAUUCAUGUGGGGUUGUAUUUGUAGCUCCAUGGUGGAAUUCAACAAAUAUUUUGUGGGACUCAUAUUGUGGCAGCACACCAUAGAAGUCAAGAUGCAGCGCCAUAGUAGUCGUUGGGUUGGCUCAUUUGGAUUCAGAAAUGUAAUUGUUUUCUAGAGAUUACAGGAUCAUUUUUCUUGACUUGCGCAAUAACCCAGGCCCUCAUAAACUGACCUGUCAACCCUCCCAAACUUUUCACAGGUUAUACCCCAGAGCAGGGGCACAAUGAGGGGGUUUAAGGUAUUAACAAAGUGUGGUUGUGAUAAUAUAUAAUAAAAUGUCUAGACAUCUAUGAACUAAUGCAGUUUUCUCUCCAAAUUACCCUUUAUUUAGUCUUUAGUAAUUCUGUGCCUAAUCUUUGUUACCAGAAGACAAAGCCUUUUCUAAUUAUUACCAGUUGACAAUGUUAUGUUUCCUAAGUGUAACUAAAUGAAAAAUAAUAAUUUUAAAAUAA